AGCAUACAAGGGGGUCACCGUACAAACUCCCAAGACGUGGCACACCGUCGCCGGAAAGGGCUUGUGCGGUGUAAUGUUGAUAUCUGAAUUUAAAAAAAAAAAAAAAACUGUAAUCAAUUGCCUGGCAUUGACAUCGAAAAAUUCAAUGACCAGGUUUUGGAUUCUGUACAGAGCAAAGCAAGAUGGUCCUGUAGUCAUGGGAUGGAGGCACCCGUGGGGUGGUCAUGGUGAUCAUGGUCACGGUGAUCAUCAAUAGGUCUCGUUGAGCCUUUGAAGAUCAUGGCGAAAAAUGAAUAUCUUGCUUUUUUCAGCUUCGUAUGUCGAAAUAAAGAGAUUUGUGAAAGAAGACGUGAAUUGUUUUUGUACACAAGUUUCUAAGACAUGCUGCUUAUGAAACAAAACCGGUCGCGAGGUUGUUUGCACUUCAUUGAUGUUGUUUUGCUGUCUACAAAUGAAUUUGAAAUAAAACCGGUCGCGAGAUUCAUGUUAGACUUCCAA